rnacentral:rRNA from 1 species
AUUGAACGCUGGCGGCAUGCUUUACACAUGCAAGUCGAACGGCAGCGCGGGCUUCGGCCUGGCGGCGAGUGGCGAACGGGUGAGUAAUACAUCGGAACGUGCCCAGUAGUGGGGGAUAGCUCGGCGAAAGCCGGAUUAAUACCGCAUACGACCUGAGGGUGAAAGCGGGGGAUCUUCGGACCUCGCGCUAUUGGAGCGGCCGAUGGCAGAUUAGCUAGUUGGUGGGGUAAAGGCCUACCAAGGCGACGAUCUGUAGCUGGUCUGAGAGGACGACCAGCCACACUGGGACUGAGACACGGCCCAGACUCCUACGGGAGGCAGCAGUGGGGAAUUUUGGACAAUGGGCGAAAGCCUGAUCCAGCAAUGCCGCGUGUGUGAUGAAGGCCUUCGGGUUGUAAAGCACUUUUGGCAGGAACGAAAAGGACUGUGCCAAUACCACGGUUCGAUGACGGUACCCGCAGAAUAAGCACCGGCUAACUACGUG